AACCAGGAGGUCCAAUAACUGUUGGUUUUUCCGAGAUCUGAAAUUCUGGCUUAUUCUUUUUCUUCAUAUCAAUUUCUCGCUGUCGAUCUUUGCUAAUAAGUCCCAACUUCGCUCGCUCGGCUUCACGUUGUCUCUCCUUCUCCGUCAGGUACCUGACAGGUGUAGGUGCACUUAAGCAUUGCUCAUAAAACUUUUCUCUUUCAGCAUAUCUUUUCCCUCCUGCACCUUUAGGAGCAGCAUCUGCAGAACCCUUUUUCGUAGUUAUCUUUGAGCGCUUCAGCGGGGCUGCAGUUUUCACCUUCGCCUUGCCCUUUGAAGUCCCACUCACAGAGCACCUCUGAAGGAAGUGGUGGCUAGAAGAAGACUCAAGCAAAGAUAUUAGGGGCUUAAUCUUUAAGAUUCGUAUCAUUUUCUAAAUCCCACCAAGCUCUUUCAGCACAAUAUAUCAACGUCUUGUUUCUUACUGCCUGCAUUACAACAAAGUAAGAAAUCACUAUUCACUUCAUCCACCACUCAAAUGCAAAACCCAAAUCACACCCACAACUUCAAAUACUACACUGCCAAAAGUUCACAAGAUAUGAAAAACUUCAGACUGGUUGCACAAUGAAGUGUCCAUAACAUAAUCGAAACUCAGAAGCUUGCAAUCAGCAAUAGCCUCACAAAACCCAUUACACCGAUUCCCAAAGCAAUGCCAUAUCUAAAGUUUCAAACUUCAACAACCAAAUACAGCUAUAAGCAUCAUAUUUUAGCAAUCAGGGAAACAUAAAGGUGAAGACUAAUCUUACUCUUUCCCACUGUUCACAGCGUUACCCAUAACUACAACCAUGAAGUUUAACCUUUUCGGAUAAAAGAUCCAACAUCUACCAAAUCACAAUUACAAUAUGGAAUUCAAAUUACACAGACAGACAAAGAAAAUCGAUGAACAAUACAAUAAAGACUUAACCUUUAGCACUAAACCCACUAAACUAAACCCAGUAUUCAUCAAUGCUUUAAAAGGCUAAGGCGCAGCCAAGGCAUUCUAGGUAGAGCCUCAACAAGGCGGUCGCCUUGAGGCGUAAGGUGUAAGCCUUUUGUUAAAUGAGUUGGAUUCAUCUAAUACUUACUCUUAUAUAUAGAAACAUGUAUUGUGACCAAAACAAGCAUAUUAUAAAUAGUAAUCCUUUCAUAAUAAGUACUAAAACCAUGCAAUUCAACCAAAUCACCAAACAUACAUAACAAAUCCAAGGAUUUAAACUUGACAGAUCAAAGUACUAGCAGAGCUGUAUAUAUAUCUCUAAGGAGAAUUUGCAUGUAUACAACACCCAUCUACCAUUUACUAAUAUGUCUAGGAAAGAGCCGAAGGACUUCACAAACUGUAAUCCUACAAUAUUAGAGGUAAUCCAAUAGAGAACUCCGAUAAAUUAGUUUCUUCAUAGUUUAUGAUAUUAUGAACUCAGUACCACCUAAUUCCCACAUAUUUCCGGAGGCUCCUCUUCCAUGAUUUCCACAUAAUUCUACCUAAAAAGCAUAGAUAUACUUCCAAAUCGAAAUUGAAAAGGGUUUUGAAGAUUGAUUACUCGGAUUGAAAUCCCUGGCUCCCUCCAACACAAAAAGAAAAGGAUUCGUUUAAAUCAAAGAACAUGAAAGUGAUGAGACCCAUUUAGCACAGCAGGAAUUUAAGCAAAUUUGAGUUGAAAUACCUUUAAUUAGGAAAAAGAAAUGGCGAGAGAACGACGAGGAGGAGAAGAGUCCGCGAAGAGGAGGAGGAGACUGAAUGCUAAAUGACUCAAAAUACUGGCUCUAAUAGCGACCUAGUUUAUUCUUCACCGGAACGACGCCGUCUUGGCGUUAAAAAAUAAAAAAUAAAAAAUUUGCUGGGUAUUCAUAUCAACAAGAUAAACCCUUUUCGAUAAACCCUACUCCAUUUUUGCGUUCCAUAGAUUUUCCCAGAGAAACAAAUCGGUAAAACAAAUUUUGAUAAACAAAAAGAUAGAGAAACAAAACAAACCCAAGUGAAAAGUUGAUAAAGAUAUAAGCAGAGAAAGAGGGUACCUGUCAGUAUUGGUAUUGGCUUAGCAGAAAUGGCACUACGCUCAUCAGAGGAAGGAGAAAGGGACUGAGAGACUAGUAGCCAGAGAGAGUUGGGAGAGAAGAGAAAAGGGUUUUGGACCAGUUUAAUGGUCUUGGGCUCUCUCUGUGUUAUGGGCUUGGGUUUUUACAAUUCUGAGGUUAGCCCGUCAGGGUUUAAGCUAUGUUUAUUUGCUACGGUGCCAACAAUAAACUCGCUCCUAUAGUGUCAUUUGCUUAAGCAUUUUCAGGUUUCUCCGGUUUGAUUAGCCCACACGAUUGGUGCAUCUUUUGGUGAAGAUAAUAAGCAAUGGAGACUGAUAAGAAAGAAGUGGAUGUCUUGAUCCCUGUGGUGGUGGCCGUUGUUUCGGAUUCUCCACCUUCGAAUGAGCUUGGACUUGUAGAGAGGAAGAGAUAAUUCCAAUGAAGAGGUUGAAGAUGGAUUGGGAUACAUAUGUUCCUUUGGACGAGAGAGUAGACAAAGAAGGUCCUGAAAUCUUUGUCUUGAGCUGCAAGCAAAGAAGGGCUGCUCUCAAACACAGAAAUGUCAGGGGAAACAGUGACCUAGCGAAGUUUGAAUAUGCCGUGCCUUAUUUAAAUCCGGCGGCGCAAGUAAUGUGUCAUGAACUUCAAGUCCAUGAGGAGGAGGAGUAUUUUAGUGCUAAUGGUGAUGAGCUGGAGGAGAUGUACUUCAGUGGGUGAGGAUGAGAAUGAGGUGAUGAAAGAAGAUGAUGAGAAGAAAGUGAAGGUUGAAGAAGAAGCAAAGGGAGAAAGUAUCGAUCUUCGAGUUAGGGAAGGCGGCCGGAGAAGAAGUGUGGAGGAUCUGAUGAAGAUGAAGGUUUACAAGUUUUAUCCAGUACAAACACCGGAUUCACCUGGGACCAAUGUUUUAAAAGGCUAAGGCGUAGCCGAGGCAAUGGAGCGAGAGCCUCACCAAUGCGCUUACCUUGAGGCGUAAGCCUUUUAGAAAAAAAAAAAAAACUUGCAUUAAUCACUAGAACUCAUUGUGCUGCCUGCAACAAUGAGUAAACCAACAACAAUCUAUAACACACCAACAAUCUGUAACACAUUCAUAAUUCUCAGUCUUAAGAGGCAAAAAGACAGUUAAGUUAAGAGCAAAGCACCAUCAAGGGAAGGAAGUCAAAAACAAUAAUGUAAGAUCAAUUAAGCAUCUUGUUAUGCACAGAACUACUGAACCAUCACAGUCUCUUCCAUCAUAAAAAAGCUCAUAAAACCAACCAGAUGGUUGAUCACUCUAUCACAAUGAACCACACACACAGCUCAAGCAUUCAUCCUUCUCAUUCUCGAUUGUAAAAUGCAGUAACUGUGUACAAUUAAGAAAACACAAUUCACAACAGUCCAAUUGAAUAGGAAGAUGUGCGUACCUCAAAUCAAUGGUGAGUUGGUGACCGAUUACUCUCGGCUUGGAGGGUGCGGCCGCAAUGCGAGGCUUAGGGAGAGGAAGAGGUUUGAGGCGAUUGAGUUGCAGAAGACAGCGACGAGGCGGUGGUCGACUGGUCGGAAUCCUGGUGGUGGUCGAUCGGGAGAGGGAGAGGGAGAGGGAGGCGCACGACCCCUAGCCUUUAUUCAGUAAUACACUAAAACCCAAAACGAGUUAAAACGACCCCGUUUCCUUCCAUAAAACUAGGCGCAUACGGGUGAUUUAUUGGUCCAUGUAUAAAUAAAACGUAUGUUUGUUGUAGGUAUAAACCGUAUUUGCUUGAUUUUUUACUUUGCUGUGCUACAUCAAAUUCAUUUAUAAGAGAAAUGUUUAAGAUCGAUCACCUGAGUGAAAUGAAAUGCUUUUAUUCUGCCUUGUCCGGACAUAUAUAAUUAAGACACUGAUUAAGAGUCAAUCUACUGAGAGACAGCUGAUUACUUCAUAACGAAAUUCAAGUCCUACUGUUCUAGGACAUACAUCUGUAUGGAAGUGCAAAACAGAACAAUUAUUGUUAUAUUACUGAAUGUAGAAAUGUAGUUGUUAUAAUUUUUACAUUCCAUUAUACCUUUGUGAAAUAACGAACAUCAUUGAAAGAAAGCUCUCUAAUUAGGAAGUUCACUUUCACUGUAUUCAUACUCACUAGAAGUUUCACUUUCACUAGAUUCAUACUCACUAGAAUUUUCAUUUUCACUGAAUUCAGACUCACUUGAAGUUUCACUUUCACUAGAUUCAGGCUCACCGGAAGUUCCAAUUCCACUGGUAGCUUGUUCUGUAUCAAUGACUUCAAAUUUCAGUAAAUCAUGAUCCUGGCCUUGGGCAUACAAAAAGCACACACCACACCUUUUCACCUCAAUGAACUGGCCAUCAAGUUUAGCAGAAAACUCAAAAGAAACUUCGGUGGCCAAUUUCACUAUAUCUGGAAGUGAAAGGGAUUUGUACACCACUAAUAGGUGAUCUGAACGUUCAUCAUCAAGCCUGGCUUUAUGGGAAUGAUUAUGAAAUAGAGUAAGUUGAUGGAGUGGCUUGCUAUUGGUUGUGAGAUUGCACUCGCAUUGAAUUCUGACAGAACGUGCUGUAUAGAAUGGCAAAACAGCCGACAGAGAAAAUCCCAAGAAGCUUUCAUCAAACCAAUGCUGAGGAAGCUUGGUUUUUAAGGAAGAUCCCUCCUUUUCACAGCUGAACCACUUUGGAAUCUCAGUUCCCGGACAUAUUAGAGUAACGAUACCAGAGUACAGAUGAUCCUGUUCAAUGUAUAGAGUUAUAGACAUGGUUAUCUAACUCUUCAAGGCUUUUGGUUCAUAAGAAAGCACAGGAAUUUACUCCAAUUGAUUAUAAGUGACGAUGCUUUUAGAAAAAGAAUAAGAUAUAAUAGUGAGACUGCGUGUGUGUAUCUGUGAGAGAUAAAGAGACAUACAUUUGCCAUUCGUGCAAUUCUGAGCCGUGCAUCAUCCAUCAUGUUGCUUCUUGUAUUCUCAUCUAGAUUUAUAGAACCACAAAAUGAAUGCCUCUGAUUCAAAUAUUGUGUAUGUGCAGCCAUUGGAUAUGACACCGUCUUCAGUGUCAGGCAGGCAUUUGCCACCAAAGUUGGAAGACAUGGGAGCUGUGGCAAAGACUGAAGGCGCUUGCAGUUACUAAUGUUCAGAUACUUGAGCCCAGACGCUUGCUUGAUUGUUGGAUUGAUCGUCUGAAUCAUGGUUCCACUUAGAUUUAGCCUUUGCAAUGAGGUUAAGCUGGUGAGGCCAUCAGGGAUUUCUUCUAACAAUUGACAAUCACUGAGGUCUACAGAUAUCAAAGGGCACAAAAUCACUGACACAGGAGGCAAUCUUUUCAGUUUCAAGCAGCCUGUAACUGCGAAAUGCUCAAGAACGUUCAAAUUGUAGACGCUGUUGGGGACAAACUCAAGGCUUGCACAUGAAGAUAUCUCUAGUGCUUUAAGCCCAACAAAAUUUUUAAUUGACGAGGGUACCUCUACAAUAUCUUUAUCAUGUAAACGAAGGAACUCAAGAAAUCCCAUUUCCUCCAAGAUGUCCGGGAACUUUUUGAUUCUAAAGGGUCCAGAGAGAUCAAGUUCCUUCAGAGAUUUUAACUCAUAGAUGCUGGCUGGGAGCCUCACAGGCUGUUCGCUAUCUUGCAGUACAACUGAAAUGAUCUGGCCAAUACACUGAAGGAGUUUGAGGCAUUUGAGCUUCCUAGGGCUUCUGCGAAUAUGCUCAAUGCUUGCACGGCUAGAGAGAUUCAGUUUAGCAAGUUUUUUGAGAGACCAAAUUGAUGAAGGCAAUUCUUCAGCUGCAGUUCCACUGAAACCCAAGUAUUUCAUCUUGCUUGGCAUCUCUGGAAGAGUUCUAAUAUUCGGGCACUUGCUCAGAUUCAGAUAAGUAAGCUUGGAACAAUUUUGAAAAUAAGAAGGAACUUGAACCAAACUUCUACAGCCUUUAAAAUCCAUAUACUCUAUAUCUAAACUCUUUGACAUAUCUGGAACUUCAACAAGCUCCACCGAGUAUCUAAGAUCAAUCCUUGUUAAGUGUUGAGGAUUCUGUAACAAAUAUAAGUGGCAACAAUAAGUUGGCUUGUACAUAACAUGUAAGUACAUUACCUUUUCCACUCUAAAAAAAAAUUCAAUACAUACAAGAGCCUAAGCAUUACCUGGCCUUUAUUCCAAAGUUUCUGGAGUUUGCUUAAGCGCAUACUAAGCUCGACAAGAUUUUUUGGGGAAAACUUUGAUGGCAAGGAUUUCCAAGGGUAUGCAUCCCAAUGGAGAUAUCUAAGGGAAUCAGGAAGAAACUCCAGAUAUGCUUUGUCAUUCAAAUGGAUGGCUGCAAAUUCAACCUUAAGGAAUGUUAGAUUAUGCAUUCCUGUGAAGGCUUGAGGAGUCAACUUUAUGUUAUGAUUGUGUAUGAAGUCUUGAUCAGUCAACAAGGCUUUAUACUUUUCUAAGAAAUCUUGAUUUGUAUGGCUCCCUGUCAAUAUCUGAGAAGCCAACGAGGCUGAAUCAUCCAAAAUUCUGCAUAAGGCUAUACUUCUAACUCUUCCAGUUCCCUGACAAUCAAGACCAUGAUUAUACCAUAAAAAUAAAAAAUGUCAAUAAAACUCGUUUCGCAGGAAUUAGAUUAAAAAGAGAUCGAUAAAUGCAUAAGGCUCUUACUGUAUUUCUUUCAAGUACAUGACAGACAUCCUUUCGAGUAUACAACCUCCUCUGCCCUCCAGGCUCUUUUGUUCCUUGUUCGCGGACAAUCUCCCAACCCAUUUCUUGUAUCACAUCAUGCAUCCAAAGAGUUUUGCCUUUGAUGGAUAUGAGAGACAUAUCUAUGAGAAUAUUGAUUCCACUAUCUGCAAACAAACCACAUGCAUCCAAUGCCCUUUUUGCAGAACGCACUCCCUCCCCUUUAUGGAAACAGACAAUAUCAAGAAAUACUUCCCUCUCAUUUUCUUCUAAUACAUCAUAACUGACUCGAUAUACAUUGUGAAGAUCUUUGUUGGGAAACUUUUUCAUUUUAUUCCAUAAUUCUUCCAGUUCUUCUUUCCUCUUGCAUCUAAGAAAUAAGGGAUGCCAAAUUUUAAGGGCUAAUGGAAUGCCAGCAGCAGAAUCUACCACCUUUUUUAAAAAUUCUGGAGAAUAGACAUCUCUGGACUCUCUGGGAGCAUUCGAAUAGAAGAGCUGAAGAGACUCAUCACCAUUUAAUUCCUCAAUCUUGUAUAUCUUAACAUCAUGGUCAGUUCCUUUCCUCACUACUUGCAUCUCCCUAACUCGUUGCCUAUCUCGAGUUGUUAUAAUGAUUCUACUUCCUGGACCAAAUGGAACUUGAUCUCCGGCUAAAAAUUCUAAUUGGACCGAAUCAUUCACAUCAUCAAGAACAACAAGGACUUUUGUACACUGGAGCCUCUCUUUAUAAUAACUGUCUAUAGUCUGACUUUCCAUAGGUGGUGUUUCUUCCCCUAAUAAUUUGCGAAGAAGUUUAUCUCGCAAACGAUACAAUUGAGGAGAGACAACUCCUUUGGCCUGUGAUUUUUCCCUAACAUUUGCAAGAAAACAGGCACCUUCGAAUUGAGAAUAGAGUCUGUGAAAUACAGCAUCAGCAAGGGUGGUCUUGCCAAUACCACCCAUCCCCCAAAUGACUACAAAGCGAAUGCGACAAUCUUCUGGGAUAAUGUCUAAUUCCUGCACAACUUGCUGAAUCCGACUUUCAAUGCCAACCAAGCCUGUCAAAUCUCUUGAGGAUCCACGAUUCAAUUUUUUGGAAAUAUCUAUGACGACUUGCUCAACUAAAUCAGAAUCAUCCCUAGCACAUAUGAUACAUAUAAUUAUAAUUAACAGUUAGUCAUACAAUUGAUUAGUCUGAAUUUCUUUAGGAAAAAUCAGACUUUCAGUUUUUAGCUAUUGGAAAUGGAUCAGUAAAUACAUCAUGACAGAUACCGAUCAAUUCUGACAUUGAUCAGCUAGUCAUACAAUCGAUUGACUAAAACGUUAUUACCUGACAUUGCUUGAAGUUGAAUCAAACCCGGAUAGAUUUGCUGCUUUUGUCAAAGCUGCCCUCCACUUGAGAACCUGACUGUCCUCGAAUCUUUCCUCAUGUUUGGCAAACACAGUGGCAUAAUCUCCAGUUUGGUGCCGGACAUGUGAUGGAUUCAUUUCAUGAAAAAUAGGUAUGGCAAGCCCUUCAUAUCUUUCCUUGCGUUCCAUUAUAUAAGCAAGUUCGUCCAAGCACCAUGGAGAAGAUGCAUAGUCUUGUGAGAAAAUGAUCACACAGAUCUUUGAUUUCUUGAUUGCUGUUCGUAGAGAUUUUUUGAUUUCAUCUCCCCUCUCCAGUCUGUAAUCUAUGUAUGUGUCGAUUUUAUGUCGCUUUAAAGCAGCAAGGAGAUGGCUGGUAAAAUUCUUUCGUGUAUCCGUGCCUCUAAAACUAAUAAACACAUCAUAAUGUUUUUUCAGCUGAAUAGCAGAAGAGGAAGCCAUACUGCAGAAAUCUGCAAAGGCUGUCUUGACUCUUGAGAGCAAAAAUCUCUGCACAAUGGUGACAAUCCGAGAAUACAUAAAGAUGACAGAGUGGUUAGAAAGAAACAAAUCCGAUACAAAAUAAGAAGAAGCAAAUAAGCUAGAUGAUGAACACUUACGGGGAGAUGAUGGUGAUCUUAUCAGGUAUGGCGUUAUGAUCUUUCUGUAAUUCAAACUAUAGAAAAACUGAGGAGUAAAGAUGGUGGAAAGAGGAAUCUGAAAUUCUGAAGCACUUUUGGUGAAAAUAUCUUUCAAUAAUUCAAAAUCAAUGUUCAAGUGAACCGAAAAAGACCAAGACACUCUAUGUACCACAUAUAUCAUAUCUGAUAAAUGGCCAACUGUGCACUGAUCAACAACACGACCGACAAUUGAUCAUUGACUAUUGCGUAGACUAAAAAAACGAAGAUUUGUUGUCACAGUCUCACAGAUCAUGUUUCACGAUAUUUAGUUAAUUACUUCUAUGUUUUCACUAAAUCCUAGUCUUUAGACCGAGUCGACGUCAAGUUAAGAGCGCAGUACAAAGCUAGCUCUAACAAACCAGUAACACUAUACUCGAGCAGUACAAGAGCAUCAAUUUUCACAGCAACAAAUACAAAUACAAAGAAAAACCAAACACAGCUAAAUGUAAACUGCCUUUUACCUCAAGGCACAUUAAGACAUGUCAAAGCAGAUCUACUCCUCGCUCCAGCUGAAAGAGCUUCCCAAAGUUAGUCAAAAGACACCAAAACCAUAUCGACCACGGCCUCCGCACAUAAAGAGCUGUAUGUUCUCCAUCGAUGCCCUUGUUCAAAACCAUCACGAUUGCUGACCUUAAAACCCUCAAGUUAUUGCAUGCAGCCUAACAAUAGUGUAACAAAGACCAUUCCAUUCAAUAUUAACUCCAAAUGGUCAAGCACUUCGUAAUAUUGCAUCAAAUUCGAAAUUGUCACAGCCUCAGCUAAACCAUAAUCGAGAUCACAAAUCGGUAAACUCCUCAAAUCCUUGCAGUGGCUAGGGCACACAUCCGACACAUUUCAUAAAGAACAAGUAGCUAGCUUGAUCUCUUGGUCAUUUCCAUCGCAGCCAUUAACUCAUAACUUUACCAAAGGGGGAGAAACGAGUCCUAUCGAUUCCAUAAUAUUGAUCAACGAACAAGAAAAAGGUUCAAAGGAAAAGGUUAAAAUUGUGGGAAGUGUAGAGAUUUCCAGCAUAUAGCUAGGAUAAAGACUUCUUGUGUACCAGGACUUGCAUACAAAAGGGAUUGCCGAAAGCAACAACUCCUAUUGCGACUCUUCCAAACACGUUGAGUAAACAGUCCGAGUCUAUCUCCUUCCAUUUUCCUUCAAUCAAACGCAUCCGGAUCUUGCUGAGUGGAAACCCUAGAGUCAUUUGAUAAAUGAGAACUAGGAAAACUAAAUGGGGAGAGAGAAGCAUAGGGUUGGACCGUUUCUGCAAAAAUGCGAAAAGGUAUUCAGCCUGAAAAUAUGAGCGGAUAGAAUCGGGACUCGUGAGUUGAUUUGGGGCCUGCCCGGUAAAGUAAUUGGGUCAUUAGUAAGAGGUUAACGAUAGUAGGAUUGAUCAUUCAAGCACAUAGAUGGCACGAAGUGGCGUAGUCAUAAAUUACAUUAGGAGGAGUCAAACUUUAGAUGAGUUAAUUUGUUAUCGUCGGAGUUCAUCGACAAAUAUGUAUGGGAUAAACAAAAUUAAAACGAAUAAAAAAUGAGAAAGAAAAAUACAAUAAAUACAAACAAAUAAAUGGAUUGUUUUUGCUUUGAUCUCAUGAACUAGUUAAAAGCCAGUAUAUUUGUUGUCACAUUUGAAGGGGCAAAAUGAAUCAAAUAGCUUAGAUACUCUCAUGUAUAAGUAAAAAUCUAAAGUACAAUACCUAUGGCAAGAUGGUGAGAAGGGUCAAUUGAACCUCCUACUCACCAUGUAGCUACGCCCCUGAUGACGUUUAUGUACUUCAAAUGGAAUGAAAUGAUUAUGGGGUAAUUAAAUGCAUGCAUGCAUUUACGAAGUACGAACACGUGGAAGGAAAUCAAAAUUGGCUAUGUUUCACCUCUUUAUCAGAAAUCGAAUACUCAGAGUGUGUUUGGAUAAAGGAUUUUUAGUUUCCAAAGACAUUCUUAAAUGACAAGAAUCAUGAUUCCACGAAUUAAUCUCUAGUAAUUAAGGAUUAUGUUGUUUGGGUAUCAUUAUAUAAAAUUUUAAAAAUGACAAUUAAGCACUAAAAUUACUUUUCUUUGAAAGUAAUAAAACAUAGUUUUGAUCGAAUGAAUUCAGAAUUAACGUGUAUUUUUUAGGGAAUUCAAAACAUGAAUUUAAACCUCCAAUUCUCUCAAAUUUAUUUUCUCGUCAUUUAAAGGACGUUAGUGCCUCUUUUUAUUGUUCACAACUUGAGAGUAGAUACAACAACAUGAACACGAUCCGCCUGCGGGAGCUACGUAAGAAAUGAAUCUUGCGAAACUACCUAGUACACACUAAUCAAUCUCUAUGCUGGAGACCAUGGGAUGAUGCACUAUGAUCAAUCGAUAUUGUCUUGGUAGCACACGAACCAGGUUACCAGCCACUAAGACAUAAGGAGGAAGGGACAAGUCCUCAACCUAUCUUAUUUGACCACUUCCGGGACCAUCCUAAGCAGAGGGGGCCAUGGGGCAACCUCAGAGCACCAACAAACCCUAGUUAAAGGCCAAAAACCCAAGAACUAAGAAAAUGCUCUAGACCUGCAAGCAACCCUAGACUAAAACUAAUAAAUAAGAAAAGAUAAAACAAUAAAGCCAGGGCCCGUGACCCAAAGACCACCAGGCCUAAGAAUAGUCCACACCUCAGCUAGGGCUAGGUAGGCUCAAUCAAUGAAUCCGGCCCAAUCUAGCAUCUCCUUCCUUGCGAAAAACUGUCGCACGCACUUUAAGGAGAUCUGUCGUUGCCCAAUCUAGUAUGUUUUCUUUUCCUAAGUCAUUUAAGAAUUUCAUGAUAUGGGAUACCAAAUGGGAAAAUCGGAUAUAUAGAUGAAAUCAUGAAAUCCUGAAAUUUAAUUAUAUUCUAGAGAAUUUCGUCGCAUCUAAACACAGCGUAAAGAAUUUGAUUACGAAUGAGGAAGAUAGAUUUAGGAAUCAACCAUUAGGAGUCGAUAUUGUUUCAUUUAUUCUCCAAUUCUAUUUGUCUCUAAUCAUUUAUUUUCUAAGUAAUUAAGUAAAUGUGCAAAUAGUGUACUUGUUUGAUUAAUGAGCCAAAUGAGUUUUGUGGCAACACAAAUACAUCCUACGAUUUCUUGCCUUGUGAGUCUUUACAUUAUUAUUGGAUGGAUUCAACUAUUAAGGCCUCCUAUGUACAACCAAUGUGUGACAAUAUUGCCAUACUUAUCUUAGAGAAGCUUUUGUCUCAUCUCAAUUUCUCAUUACAACCUAUAAAUUUUAACUUCAACUUUUCAAGUUUAUGACAUAAAGUAACCAGCUGUCAUAUAAAUUUUAAACUACAAUAAUGUAACAAUCACUGCAUCAAGUUCAUAAUUCAAAGUACAACAUAUCAAAAAUAUCCAUCACCAUAUUAUGAUAUAUUUUCAUCAAUCAAUCACUGUAACCAUAAAACAUUAAAAUUGAUAAAAGUUCAUAAGUACAUAACACAAUUCAUCACUGAAUAAAAUCUGAAAUAAGCAGAUCAUCACCAAAUAAUAAAAGUCCAUUAGAGAACUAAAAUUUAGAGGCGCUUAAGUCUUCAAUAUUUUUCAACAAAGUGGGUUUUUUGAAGUUUAUUCUUCAAGAAGUUCAUCAACACAUGUUGAUUGAGAAGGACUUUUGAGAUUGUUUUACUUAGGUUUUUUUGAGAUUUUUUUUGAGAAGUUUUCCAUAAUUGAUAUCAGAGUUUGCUUUCUUUGGUUUGUUCACCUUGUAGCUAGUUUGAGAAUGUGUAUAUAGUACGUUUCUAGCCUUUUGUUCUUCUAUUAAUGUAAGUUUGUAUUUGGAUUGAACUCUUCAAUCUUAUAAAAAGCUACAUAUGACUUUACUGAUGUCCUUUCUUCUUUUUCUUCUUCUUCUUCUUCUUCUUCUUCUUCUUCUUCUUUUGUGUCAGAAUUUAGUGACGUUAUCUUGCUAUAUAAAGAACCACCAGAAGGGAACGAUGUAAUACUAGUUUACAAAGAAGUGAAUGAGAAAUGUAGAGUCCUAUAUAUUUCAAUACCCUACGAGAUACUACGAAAAUGUAAAAGGACAACCGAUGGGUUACUUAUGUUUAUCCUAAGAGAGAGUGGGAAAAACCUGAGGAACAAAAAAAGCAAGGAGCUUCCUUAGGUUCCCAUAUACGAAGGGCAGUAGAGUAUGCUAAGGAUAAGCAAGAAGAAAUUGAAAAAACUUACCCGAGAAUGGUCAUGUACGGGAAGUAUAUCUUUAAGAUAUAUGUGAGUUUCCCUUUAAAUCUUGUUGUGGAGCUCCCAACAGUAUAUGACACUGUGGUUGAUUUCUACAAGACGUUAAAGCUUCCAUUAGAGAGUUACAAUAUUCUUCCCCCUUCUUUACUCGGCAAUCAAAUUCAUGUCCCUAUGUCAUUGAUCAUCCCACUACUGCCCAAUUGUUCUUACUAGCCUCACCAAUGCUAUUAGACUAACCCUUGCUUUUCAGCUCUAAACCUUUGAAAAAUAACAAGAUCCAUUGCAGGCUUGGGGCAGACCAGUUAGAUAAUUAGUAGGGUUAAAGAAUAAAUGUUUUACAAUUUGUAUCACUACUAUUGGAAAUCCCUGUUAACAAUCAUCAACAUACAAUAAGAUUUAAACGUUCACAUCAAGGUUCAAUUAGUAAGGCUUCAAAGAACAUCAUAUAGAAUUCAAAUUUGAUAAGGAAACCAAAGUUACUAUAAAACCUUGCAAACACGUAAAUUCAACAGAUUUGGUCACACAAAUUUUAGCCCACAUGGAAUUAUCAAAAGCAUGCAGGCAUAUUAUUAACUAAAACACAAGGAUUAGAUCUAACAUAGCAACUCUUUUCAUCACUUUGGCGUGAAUGUGCGACUUCCUGAAGUCAAGUUUCAACUUCAGUAAUAGAUAGUGUUCCAACAACCAAAUAAGUCCUAACAUGCAAGCAUAACUCUACCUGCAUAAGAAUCAUGAAAGACAAUAUUAAGAAACAGCAAAAUAAGCUGAUCAGAGCCUAUGAAUCUAGUUAAUCUACUACACGCUGCAUGAUUUUAUUUCUGUGAAGGAGCAUGAGUACUAUGAUAGGCAUCAUAAUAACAAACCCAUGUAAAGCUUUUUGUGUCAUCAAGCCUCAAUCACUCAACAGACAGUAUGAAACCAAACAGGAAAAAGAAAACAAGAUGCAAUUCAAAUUGCACAAUGCGUUCUCGAAGAAAAUGACUACAAAUAAUAUCAAUUCCUUUGUGCAAAUCAGAAAAGAGUUGACAUGCUAUAAAGUUUUAUCUGUGGCUUUCCUAGACAUCAUCUAACUUCAAGAUAGUAUGCUACAGGUCCUGUUGACUAGCUGAAAUGAGCACUUUCAGGGAUAACAGAAUAUCAUCAACACUGCUCAUUUCAUAAGAUACUUGCACCUUAAUAGUAUAAAAAAUAGGAAGUUCUAACAUCAAAAAUUCAAUUUUUCCCAGAGAUCCAUUUUCUCUCGGUUCUAAAAUGGGGAAGUUUUACAAAACUAUGGAUAGCAAUUCACGAGCAAGUGUUCUUAGAGAAUUGUGCGACUAUUGAUUCUACAAAACUGUGGAUAACAACCCAGGAGGUCAUUUAAAUCCCUGAGCCAUUAUAAAAAAAAAAAUGCAGCAUAACACUUAAAUAAAAUGUUGUGCAACCUUUAAAACUGAGUAAAACCUCGACCUUCUUCUGAAGUAAUCUAAACAGUUAGAAUAACGUUUAAUAUAAAGAAGAAAAAGACAGGAGAUUCAACCUCUGGUUAUCUGAGCUUCCCCUUCUCACUGCUCCUCCGUGCAGCUUCCUUAACCUUCUCAAUGUAGCCUUCAAUUGGAGGAGUCAGAAUUGCCAUGAACCGAUCUGUAGGGAAUGGAGUCAUGUCUGGCACCAAUGCUGCUGCUUUCAAAUGUUCAUGCAAUGCCUCAAUAGCCUCCUUCUUCAAACGCAAGUGUUGACUCUGCUGCUUGCCUUGCCCGGUGACACCUCAUCAACACCCUGCUAUACUCCUUAGCAAGCCGCUGGCCAUCUUCAGCAGUCAGUUCAUAUUUUGGUAACUUCUCCUCAUCAACCAAACCUAGUGAUAUCAAAUCCAAACCAGGAGGUCCAAUAACUGUUGGUUUUUCCGAGAUCUGAAAUUCUGGCUUAUUCUUUUUCUUCAUAUCAAUUUCACGCUGUCGAUCUUUGCUAAUAAGUCCCAACUUCGCUCACUCGGCUUCACGUUGUUUCUCCUUCUCCGUCAGGUACCUGACAGGUGUAGGUGCACUUAAGCAUUGCUCAUAAAACUUUUCUCUUUCAGCAUAUCUUUUCCCUCCUGCACCUUUAGGAGCAGCAUCUGCAGAACCCUUUUUCGUAGUUAUCUUUGAGCGCUUCAGCGGGGCUGCAGUUUUCAC
rnacentral:lncRNA from 1 species